rnacentral:rRNA from 1 species
GAUGAACGCUGGCGGCGUGCCUAAUACAUGCAAGUCGAGCGAAUGGAUUAAGAGCUUGCUCUUAUGAAGUUAGCGGCGGACGGGUGAGUAACACGUGGGUAACCUGCCCAUAAGACUGGGAUAACUCCGGGAAACCGGGGCUAAUACCGGAUAACAUUUUGAACAGCAUGGUUCGAAAUUGAAAGGCGGCUUCGGCUGUCCCUUAUGGAUGGACCCGCGUCGCAUUAGCUAGUUGGGGAGGUAACGGCUCACCAAGGCAACGAUGCGUAGCCGACCUGAGAGGGUGAUCGGCCACACUGGGACUGAGACACGGCCCAGACUCCUACGGGAGGCAGCAGUAGGGAAUCUUCCGCAAUGGACGAAAGUCUGACGGAGCAACGCCGCGUGAGUGAUGAAGGCUUUCGGGUCGUAAAACUCUGUUGUUAGGGAAGAACAAGUGCUAGUUGAAUAAGCUGGCACCUUGACGGUACCUAACCAGAAAGCCACGGCUAACUACGUGCCAGCCGCCGCAGUAA